rnacentral:rRNA from 1 species
CGGGGACCCGCACAAGCGGUGGAGCAUGUGGUUUAAUUCGACGAUACGCGAAGAACCUUACCUGGCCUUGACAUAGAAAGAAUUUAGCAGAGAUGUAAAAGUGCUAGUUUACUAGAGCUUUCAUACAGGUGCUGCACGGCUGUCGUCAGCUCGUGUCGUGAGAUGUUAGGUUAAGUCCUGCAACGAGCGCAACCCUCGUGUUUAGUUACUAACAGAUUAUGCUGAGGACUCUAGACAUACUGCCUGGGCAACCAGGAGGAAGGUGAGGACGACGUCAAGUCAUCAUGGCCCUUACGGCCAGGGCUACACACGUGCUACAAUGGGGUAUACAAAGAGCAGCGAUACCGCGAGGUGGAGCAAAUCUCAUAAAAUAUCUCCCAGUUCGGAUUACACUCUGCAACUCGAGUGUAUGAAGUUGGAAUCGCUAGUAAUCGUAGAUCAGCAAUGCUACGGUGAAUACGUUCCUGGGUCUUGUACUCACCGCCCGUCACACCAUGGGAGUUGAAUUCAUUCGAAGCGGGGAUGCUAAA